UGUUGUUGUUAAAGCAUUUAAUAAAUAGCUGAACCAUAAGACAUUCAAUAAUGAGCCAAAUGAAAUGAGUCUAUGACAUCUCCUUUAGAACAUUGGAAACUUAGAAAACAAAACAAUAAAAAACGUAACAUCUGUGCAAAAUAUGGCUAGUAUUUACAAUAGUACUUCAAAUCCUUCAAAAUGACCCAGCCAAAUAUGUACAAAGUGAAGAUGACAUCAAAUGUGACACAUACUACACAGUACAGACACGAAUGAUAAUUAUAUCUCAGUACAGGCAUGAAUGAU